rnacentral:rRNA from 1 species
CCUACGGGUGGCUGCAGUGGGGAAUUUUGGACAAUGGGCGCAAGCCUGAUCCAGCCAUGCCGCGUGAGUGAAGAAGGCCUUCGGGUUGUAAAGCUCUUUCGGCCGGAACGAAAUCGUCCGGGCUAAUACCUCGGAUGGAUGACGGUACUGGAAGAAGAAGCACCGGCUAACUACGUGCCAGCAGCCGCGGUAAUACGUAGGGUGCAGGCGUUAAUCGGAGUUACUGGGGGCGGAGCGUGAGGUCGGGGGUGAAAUCCCCGGGCUUAACCUGGGAACUGCGUUUGAAACUGGGAGGCUGGAGUGCGGCAGAGGGGGGUGGAAUUCCACGUGUAGCAGUGAAAUGCGUAGAUAUGUGGAGGAACACCGAUGGCGAAGGCAGCCCCCUGGGCCUGCACUGACGCUCAUGCACGAAAGCGUGGGGAGCAAACAGGAUUAGAUACCCCUGUAGUC